rnacentral:lncRNA from 10 species
GUCUCUUUCUGUCACCCGGUCUGGAGUGAAGUGGCGCAGUCUCAGCUCUCUGCAACCUCUGCCUCCCAGGUUCAAGCAAUUCUUCUGCCUCAGCCUCCCAAGUAGCUGGGAUUACAGGAAUGUCUCCCGCAGGGACCCUACCCUGGUGGCACAGGACGUCUCACACAGCACUGUCUGGGACAGCAAAAGGGAUGGAAACCACCUGAGUCCAACUAUGGAGGACACUGGAAAACACGAUGCUGCCUCCAUAGGAUGGGAUAUUGGCAAGUGUGAAGAAACAACAUUUGGUUCUGGAGGCUGCAAGCCCAGGUUCAAGGCAUCAGCAGGUGUGGUUUCCUCCGAGGCCUCUCCCCGUGGCUUGCAGAUGGCUGCCUUCUUCCUGCAUCCUCACGUGGUCCCUCCUCUGCACUCCAGCAUCCUUAAUGUCUCUUUGUGUGUCCAACUUUCCGCCCCCCCCCACCCCUUUUUUUUCUGAUGGAGUCCACCCAGACUGGAGUACAGUGGCGUGAUCUCAGCUCACUGCAACCUCCACUUCCUGGGCUCAAGUGAUUCCCCCGCUUCAGCCUCCCGAGUAGCUGGGAUUACAGGCAUGUGCCACCAUGCCUGGCUAAUUUUUGUAUUUUUAAUAGAGAUGGGAUUUCACCAUAUUGGCCAGGCUGGUCUCAAACUCCUGACCUCAAGUGAUCCACCCAUCUCGGCCUCCCAAAGUGUUGAGAUUACAGGUGUGAGCCACUGCGCCCAGCCCCGAACUUUCCUCUUAAAAGGAUAUCAGUCAGGCCAGGCGCAGUGGCUCAUACCUGUAAUCCCUGCACUUUGGGAGGUUGAGGCGGGUGGAUUACUUGAGGUCAGGAGUUGGAGACCAGCCUGGCCAACAUGGUGAAAUCCCGUGUCUACUAAAAAUACAAAAAUUAGCCGGGCGUGGUGGCAGGCGCCUGUAGUCCCAGCCACUCGGGAGGCUGAGGCAGGAGAAUUGCUUGAACCUGGGAGGCAGAGGUUGCAGUCAGCUGAGAUCAUGCUACUGCACUCCAGUCUGGGCAACAGAGCAAGACUCUAUCUCAAAAAAAAAAAAGACACCAGUCAGACUGGAGUAGGGCUCACCCUAAUGGCCUGAUUUUAACUUAAUUACCUCUUUUUUUUUCUUUCUUUUUUUGAGACAGAGUCUCGCUCUGUCACCCAGGCUUGAGUGCAGUGGCGCGAUCUCAGCUCACUGCAACCUCUGUCUCCCGGGUUCAAGUGAUUCUCCAGCCUUAGCCUCCCAAGUAGCUGGAAUUACAGGCGUGUACCACCACACCAAGCUAAUUUUUGUAUUUUUUAGUAGAGACAGGGUUUCUUCAUGUUGGUCAGGCUGGUCUCAAACUCCUGACCUCAGGUGAUACACCUGCCUCGGCCUCCCAAAGUGAUGGGAUUAUAGGUGUGAGCCACUGCACCCAGCCUUAAUUACCCCUUUAAAGGCCCUAUAUGCAAAUACAGUCACAUUCUGAGCUACUGGGGGUUAGGGCUUCAACAUAGGAAUUCAGGCAGACAUGAUUCAGCCCAUAACAAGGGCUUUCACUUUUUUUUUUUUUGUAGAAACAGGGUCUCACUAUGUUGCCCAGGCUACUCUUGAACUCCUGGGUUCAAGUGAUUCUCCAGCCUCAGCCCCCAGAUUAGCUGGGGCUACAGGUGCACCAGCACGCCCAGCUAAUAUUUUUACUUUCAUUUUUUUUAGACGGAGUUUAGCUAUCUUUGCCCAGGCUAGAGUGCAAUAGCGUGAUCUUGGCUCACCACAACCUCUGCCUUCCGGGUUCAAGAAUUCUCCUGCCUCAGCCUCCCAAGUAGCUGGGAUUACAGGCAUGCACCACCAUGACCGGCUAAUUUUGUAUUUUUAGUAGAGACGGGGUUUCUCCAUGUUGGUCAGGCUGCUCUCGAACUCCCGACCUCAGAUGGUCUGCCCGCCUCAGCUUCCCAAGGUGCUGGGAUUACAGGCGUGAGCCACCGCGCCCGGCCAAUAUUUUUUGUGGAGUCAGGGUCCUACUAUGUUUCCCAGGCUGGUCUUGAACUUCCAGGCUCAAGCGAUCCUCCUGCCUUGGCCUCCUAAAGUACUGUGAUUCCAGGCCUGAGCCACAGCACCCUGCUGGCUUUCACUUUUUACUUUAUUUCUAUGUUGUUAAAAUCUAUUACAAUAAACAUUACUUUUAAAGGAUUUUGUGCACUUCAAUCCAAAUGUCCCUGAAGCAUCUACCUCCCUCCUGGGCCUUCUCUGAAGUCAGAGUAGGGGCAGCUGAAGCCCUCCCUCUGCUGGCUCCAGGAACGAAACCCCCUGGCCCACUAAGGCCCUUCCCCUGGGGAGGGUGGCGUGGGAUAAGAACACUCAGUAUCUGUCUGGCCCUCUCAAGAUCACUGAGGACUUUCCCAGACAGCCGACAUGGUCUUCAGAUCAGUCUGCCAAACGUCACAUAGAGGCUGGGCACGGUGGCUCACGUCUGUAAUCCCAGCACUUUGGGAGGGCAACGUGGGUGGAUCACCUGAAGUCAGGAGUUCGAGACCAGGCUGGCCGACAUUGCAAAACCUCGUCUCUACAAAAAUAUAAAAGUUAGCUGGGCGUGGUGGCACGCGCCUGUAGUCCCAGCUACUCGGGAGGCUGAGGCAGGAGAAUCACUUGAACCUGGGAGGCGGAGGUUGCAGUGGACCAGGAUCGUACCACUGCACUCCAGCCUGGCCAACAGAGUAAGACUCCAUCUCAAAAAAAAAAAAAAAAUCAGGUGGAGGGGCAUCCUCUGUUUUCCAGGCUCCUGGUUUAUAGCUGCAAGCUCUGGACAUUUAAUACCUUGUAAUCCAUCCUUCCCUUAUAUACCUCUCAACAUAAUGACUGUACAAUAUGGCCAAUGAAACGGAUAGUAAAAUGAAACAUAGGCAAGUAAUAAAGUGAGAUAUGAAGACAGUAGUACAACCUGGAUGAGGGUGGAAUGCAAAAUUGUCAUCAGAGAAGACGACAGGAGGACCUGAGAGCUGGAGGGACGGACGCUUAUCUACCCAAAUGAGGCUAUAAAAAGUAGAAAGAUGGCAGGGUAAAAAUGGGGGAGGGCUGCCACUUAAGACUCUCAGGAAACAGUGAUGCAUCAGACUUUAUCAUUAAGUCCCAGGGGAGAGGAGUGGAUCUGGGGAUCCCUUUAGAUAUGGUAGAAUUCUCCUGGGUCCUGCUCUGGUCUUAAAUCUCAGACCAGUAGCAGGAAAACCCUAACUGUACUGUGGUCCUGAAUGUCACUGCAACUUCAGCCCUGCUGUGGUGGUGUAUCUGCUCCUCUGGCUGGCUCUGCCACCUUGAAAGGUGAGACCAUGUGGAGCAGAGCCAAGGGGCCUCAGCUGACAGCCAGCACCAACCAUCAGUCAUGUGAGUGAGACCACCUUGGACCCCCAACCCCAGUUGGGUUGUCAGAUGACUAUAGCUGCAGGUACAAGAGUGACCCAGUGACACCAGCAGAUGAACCGGCUAGCUUAGCUCAGCCCAAACUGCUGACUUAGAACUGUUGUUAUGUUAAGCCAGUACAUUUUCAGUGACUCAUUACAAAGCAGUAGAUAACUGUGACAGUCUAAGAGGAUCUAAGUUUGGAAACAGGAUUGAAUAUUUAAGAUAACUGAUUUGCCAGAUUUAUAAGUUUAUUAGUAUAUAAGAGUUGCUUGGCUGGGCACAGUGGCUCAUGCCUGUAACCCUAACACCUUGGAAGGCUGAAGCAGGAAGAUUGCUUGAGCCCAGGAGUUUGAGACCAGCCUUGGCAACACAGUGAGACCCAAUCUCUUAAAAAAAAAAAAAAAAAAAAAAACUCCGUCUCCCUCUCGCUCUCCGUCUCCCUCUCGCUCUCCCUCUCCCCACGGUCUCCCUCUCAUGCGGAGCCGAAGCUGGACUGUACUGCUGCCAUCUCGGCUCACUGCAUCCUCCCUGCCUGAUUCUCCUGCCUCAGUCUGCCGAGUGCCUGCGAUUGCAGGCACGCGCCGCCACGCCUGACUGGUUUUGGUGGAGACAGGGUUUCGCUGUGUUGGCCGGGCCGGUCUCCAGCCCCUAACCGCGAGUGAUCCGCCAACCUCGGCCUCCCGAG